GAUGAACGCUCGCGAUAGGCUUAACACGUGCAAGUCGAGGGGCAGCAUGGUCUUAGCUUGCUAAGACUGAUGGCGACCGGCGCACGGGUGCGUAACGCGUAUGCAACUUGCCUCACAGAGGGGGAUAACCCGUCGAAAGACGGACUAAUACCGCGUACACUUGGGAUAGGGCAUCCUGACCCAAGGAAAUGAAAUUCGCUGUGAGAUAGGCAUGCGUCCCAUUAGCUAGUUGGUGAGGUAACGGCUCACCAAGGCGACGAUGGGUAGGGGAACUGAGAGGUUGAACCCCCACACUGGUACUGAGACACGGACCAGACUCCUACGGGAGGCAGCAGUGAGGAAUAUUGGUCAAUGGGCGAGAGCCUGAACCAGCCAAGUCGCGUGAAGGAUGACUGUCUUAUGGAUUGUAAACUUCUUUUAUACGGGAAUAACAAGAGUCACGUGUGGCUCCCUGCAUGUACCGUAUGAAUAAGCAUCGGCUAACUCCGUG
rnacentral:rRNA from 1 species